rnacentral:tRNA from 1 species
GGCUUCGUAGUGUAGCGGUUAUCACUCAAGAUUUUGAUUCUUGUAACCCCGGUUCGAAUCCGGGCGAGGCCU